rnacentral:pre_miRNA from 1 species
AAAGACUCAAUUUAUAGGUUUUCGUGUCUAACGUUUGACCGUCCGUCUUAUUUGAAAAUAUUAUAAAAAAAAUUAAAAAGAUAAAUCACACAUAAAAUAUUAUUCAUGAUUUAUCAUCUAACAACAAUGAAAAUACUAAUUAUAAAAAAAUUUCAUAUAAGACGGACAGUCAAACGUUAAACACAAAAACUCAGGAAUUGAGUUUUU